AGUACGUUCGGGAGCAAGAGAUUGUUCGUUCUGAAUAUCAGCGAGCAAUGGAGAGUGUAUUUUGACAUUGGUGUUGGCGAUAAUAUUGACUUCAGGAAUAAUAGGGAACAAAGUAUCCUCUGUAGAGGUGGUAGGUUCGUGCUGACGUGACAAAGCGUCUGCCUUAGUGUUCUUAGAACCAGGCCUGUAAGUAAGCACAUAAUUAAAGUGUGUAAGGAACAUAGACCAACGUGCCUGCCUGGCAGAUAAUCUUUUGGCCUCCCCCAUAUACGAUAAAUUUUUGUGGUCAGUCAAGAUAGUAACUGGGAGGACGGUGCCCUCUAACAAAUGUCUCCAUUCCUUUA